rnacentral:rRNA from 1 species
UGGGGAAUUUUGGACAAUGGGCGAAAGCCUGAUCCAGCAAUGCCGCGUGUGUGAAGAAGGCCUUCGGGUUGUAAAGCACUUUUGUCCGGAAAGAAAUGGCUCUGGUUAAUACCUGGGGUCGAUGACGGUACCGGAAGAAUAAGGACCGGCUAACUACGUGCCAGCAGCCGCGGUAAUACGUAGGGUCCAAGCGUUAAUCGGAAUUACUGGGCGUAAAGCGUGCGCAGGCGGUUGUGCAAGACCGAUGUGAAAUCCCCGAGCUUAACUUGGGAAUUGCAUUGGUGACUGCACGGCUAGAGUGUGUCAGAGGGGGGUAGAAUUCCACGUGUAGCAGUGAAAUGCGUAGAGAUGUGGAGGAAUACCGAUGGCGAAGGCAGCCCCCUGGGAUAACACUGACGCUCAUGCACGAAAGCGUGGGGAGCAAACAGGAUUAGAUACCCUGGUAGUCCACGCCCUAAACGAUGUCAACUAGUUGUUGGGGAUUCAUUUCCUUAGUAACGUAGCUAACGCGUGAAGUUGACCGCCUGGGGAGUACGGUCGCAAGAUUAAAACUUAAA